rnacentral:rRNA from 1 species
UACGUAGGUGGCAAGCGUUGUCCGGAUUUAUUGGGCUUAAAGGGCGCGUAGGCGGCUUAUUAAGUCAGUGGUGAAAUACUCUAGCUCAACUAGAGGGGUGCCAUUGAUACUGAUGAGCUUGAGUACAGAUGAGGUAGGCGGAAUUGACGGUGUAGUGGUGAAAUGCUUAGAUAUCGUCAAGAACACCUAUAGCGAAGGCAGCUUACUAGGCUGUAACUGACGCUGAGGCACGAAAGUGUGGGGAUCAAACAGG